rnacentral:rRNA from 1 species
UACGGAGGGGGCUAGCGUUGUUCGGAAUUACUGGGCGUAAAGCGCACGUAGGCGGCUUUGCAAGUUAGAGGUGAAAGCCCGGGGCUCAACUCCGGAAUUGCCUUUAAAACUGCAUCGCUAGAAUUGUGGAGAGGUAAGUGGAAUUCCGAGUGUAGAGGUGAAAUUCGUAGAUAUCGAGAGGAACACCGGUGGCGAAGGCGGCCAACUGGACGAGUACUGACGCUGAGACACGAAAGCGUGGGGAGCAAACAGG